GGAACUGCAAAUGUCAUUUUGAAAGAAUUCCUGGCCAAGUACACCAGAACUUGAAAAGGGUUUGAGAAGUAACCAGGAAGGUAACUAAUAAUAGAACCAGAGAGAGACUAUGAGAGAUGAGAAAUUAUUCUAAGGAUAAAUAAGAAAAUUUUACUAUUUGGUUUCUAAGUUUUACUAUUAAUCACUAUUUAAUUGUUAUAUUUUGAAAAUUGAAUAAUAUAAUCCUUAUGUUUAAUUUUGUCAAAAUUACAAAUUCCUCCGUUCAAUAUAGCUAUUAGUUUAAUUGAUUUCAAUGAUUGAAGGAGAGAGA
rnacentral:misc_RNA from 1 species